AGAGUUUGAUCAUGGCUCAGAUUGAACGCUGGCGGCAGGCCUAACACAUGCAAGUCGAGCGGUAGAGAGAAGCUUGCUUCUCUUGAGAGCGGCGGACGGGUGAGUAAUGCCUAGGAAUCUGCCUGGUAGUGGGGGAUAACGUUCGGAAACGGACGCUAAUACCGCAUACGUCCUACGGGAGAAAGCAGGGGACCUUCGGGCCUUGCGCUAUCAGAUGAGCCUAGGUCGGAUUAGCUAGUUGGUGAGGUAAUGGCUCACCAAGGCGACGAUCCGUAACUGGUCUGAGAGGAUGAUCAGUCACACUGGAACUGAGACACGGUCCAGACUCCUACGGGAGGCAGCAGUGGGGAAUAUUGGACAAUGGGCGAAAGCCUGAUCCAGCCAUGCCGCGUGUGUGAAGAAGGUCUUCGGAUUGUAAAGCACUUUAAGUUGGGAGGAAGGGUUGUAGAUUAAUACUCCGCAAUUUUGACGUUACCGACAGAAUAAGCACCGGCUAACUCUGUGCCAGCAGCCGCGGUAAUACAGAGGGUGCAAGCGUUAAUCGGAAUUACUGGGCGUAAAGCGCGCGUAGGUGGUUUGUUAAGUUGGAUGUGAAAUCCCCGGGCUCAACCUGGGAACUGCAUUCAAAACUGACUGACUAGAGUAUGGUAGAGGGUGGUGGAAUUUCCUGUGUAGCGGUGAAAUGCGUAGAUAUAGGAAGGAACACCAGUGGCGAAGGCGACCACCUGGACUAAUACUGACACUGAGGUGCGAAAGCGUGGGGAGCAAACAGGAUUAGAUACCCUGGUAGUCC
rnacentral:rRNA from 1 species